UAAGUUCCGACCUUCACGAAUGGCGUAACGACUUCCCCACUGUCUCCAGGACAUGCUCAGCGAAAUUGAAUUCUCCGUGAAGAUGCGGAGUACCCGCGGUUAGACGGAAAGACCCCGUGCACCUUUACUGCAGCUUCAGAGUGGCAUUAGGAAAGAACUGUGUAGCAUAGGUGGGAGGCUUUGAAGCAUCGACGCCAGUUGAUGU
rnacentral:rRNA from 1 species